rnacentral:lncRNA from 1 species
GUUGGAAUCAGAGGGCUGCUGGGGUUUGAGUGGGAAGCUGAAGUGCCUGGCAAUAUUGAAGCCCUAGCAUCUGGGGCUGCUGCUUGGGGGUCACAUUUCAAACUCUAGCCCAGCCUGAGAGCCCUCUAGCGUCUAGCGUGGGGUAGGGAGGGCGGGGCGGGGACACGCCGGAAUGACAGCAGAGUUCUUCAUAAGGGACAGCUGGAGCUGGGCUGUGAGGACCAGAAAGUGGAGAAGGUUGCUAGGGGAACGCUAGAGCAAGACUUGGAAGGGGCUGGAAAGCUGAAGGAAAACUCAAGCUCUACAUCGCCCCCCUGUGGGAUCUAGGAAAAGUGCAGGCCUCCGGUUUCUUUACUCAUCUCAAGGUGGUGAGAGGCCUUGCCUGGAAGAAGAGCAGGUUACACCAAGAUGGGGAAUGGAGUAGUGUGCAGCUGCCACCAGCCAGGCGGAGACUUUAGGAUUCACUUCUGGACAGGGACAGGGAAAACAUUUUCCUUUCAAUGCCUCGAGGCCCUUCAGCAACUGUAGGAGCGGGCGUGGUGUCGUCGCUACUGUCAAAUCCUGGACCCGGCAGCCGACUUUUUCCUGACUUGGACAUCAGCAGCGGAAGCAAGGGAAGUUUCAAGACACACAGUAAAGUUUGCUUCAGUCCAGGGAUCACAGUGCACAAAACCAGAGCAUACUUCUCUCUGAGCUCUCCGUGAUGUUGAAAAAGAAGCUUCUUCAAGGAUGACCAAAUGCUUACCCCGCCUUGUGCCCAGCUCAGUGCAGACAGAAGUCACUACACUGAACGAGAACUACAACCAGGAAGCAGUCUCCACCCUGAGAAGCAGCCAUUAGUACACAGAGGGUAUGCUCACAUAAAAGAAGAAAAACUUUCCUUUGUGGGGAUAUAUUUUUACUGAAAAAUCUUUCUCGCCAACAUGCAUGAGAAGCAUUGGGUUGAUCAGAUGUGCCACCUUACUGAUUGAUGCCUGAUGGACAUAGUAAAGUUGACCCAGAAUCAUGUCUCCUAUGGACUAUGUGGGAAGAGUCUCCUGGACACAGACUUUUUUGGCAGCAAGGUCUGAUUGCUGUCCCUGUUUGUGAUCACCUUGUUUUUCACUGAAUGUCUGUGGCCUCUGGGGCUGAUAUGAUUGAUGGCCAUGGCUUAUGUCUCUCAUCACUCUGCUUUGUUCUAGGUCAUAGCGACCCCCACUCUUGAUAGGAGUAGCUGCCCUCAGAGGGCUGGGUAUUCCUCAGCAGGGCAUCUUCAUUAUGAUGGGUCUCUUUGUGUCACAGGCUAUCUUUUGCACUAGGCUGUCUCUAAUGAUGUCAUGAGCAUCCUACUGCCCCAUGUAUAGGAAGAGAUUCCUUUGGACUUAGAUCCAGCUCUGCACAGUAGCUGCAGGGACUUUAUACUAAUCUAAGAGUAUUCCGUUCCCUAGAUAAUGUCAUUCACAUACUGCAGAACAUUCCUAAUCCUUCUCUUAAAAUGCCUUUCUGGGGGAGGCUGUCACUUCUCUGAUGGGCGUAUGGAGGACUUACUCCCUACAGUGCCCACCUAGUUUUGUGAGCUGUGCAUGGGCUCAGCUCAGCAGCUUGGGAGGCCCUCAUCCCUGCAAGCCUUUUCCUUGCUUUUCCACUUGGGACUCCCAUGGCUGCCUCUCUCCUGGUUGUAGAAGUAUCCUGCAUGGACUCCUUCUGAAACCUUCUCUUUGGUGACCAGCUCCUUCUGCUCUCUGCUGUACCUCAAGCUCAUUCAGUGUAUACCUCUCACUAUUGUGCUUUCAGGCCCACAUGCCUGCAUUCUAGAGUAAAGGUUUUUACAGGUCUCAAACCUGACUUUGCCAGAUUCAUUGAUAACUCAGGCAGUGACACCAGACUGUCAGGGAGGGUCAAUUAGCACUCAGCAGUGACAUCACUGCCACACCUCCAGUGACUCCACGGUCAUGGUGGUUUCAUCACUGAUGAUUGGAACCCUAUUUCAGUCUCCAUGGUGGUCACAUGUCUUCAGUGUCUUCUAAGGCCACCCACCCACCUGCUGUGUGUCACCCAUCAUCUUUGCAAGGCUCUGGCUUGAUUACAUGCUGAGUCUCUGGGUUCCCAGGAAAGCCUUGCUCUGGCAGGUUCUAACCAGGAGAGAGCAAGCUUGGUCCUGACAAGGCAGGCAGUGCCUGUGUGCAGUUGUAUGGCCCAAGCAGAAGCAGAUAGGGUCCUGCUUUGAAGCCCCUAAAACCCUGCAGAUAAACAGGAAGAGAGAGGAUUAUGUAACAUGGCAGCUGAGCUGCCUGUGCUCUGGGCCACCUGCUUCUUGGCUCUCCUUGCCCUUGGGAGUUGAGAUGAGGUAGAACACAGACUCCAGGAACAGGUGAGAAUGCUGCAGCAAGCGCAUAUGAACGCUACGAAAGCUUGUUCUAUAAUCCUCGGGGGCACCCUCAGGCACCCUUUAUACCCUCUACCCACAUCCCAUUGGUCCCAAGCAAGCAUCUCUUCCAAGCAACAGUUCCCAAUUGGCUGAAUUUGUCUGUGUCAGCAAUCCUUGGUCUCUCAGGCAGUCUUCAAUUAGGUCCUCCUGCAGAAGUUGCCUUUGCGGGUAUGCGGGCCCUGGCAUUUAUGCAGAGGUAGCCACUGCCAUUCCUCCUGUAGACUUGAACCUUGUGAUGAAAUUUUUCCAGGACCAUGGGAACGUUAGCAAGAGACACAGAUGGUAGAAUUUGAAAGGCAGCCCAGGGAAGGGAUGAGGCUGGAGUGUUCCUCAGCAUGGCAUCCCCUGGCUCCAGAACCUGCAGGUUUGGGCCCCACCUGAGCCUCACAAGAUGCCAGGUGUCUUACUUUCUGACUUAGGUGAGACCUCAGGUCAAGGAAGUUAGGCUCCUGGGGGUGGGCAUUCUCAUGGGAUGUUCAACCUUUCCAGGAUGCUGGGUUUAUGGGGUAAGGAAGCUGGGCUUUGGGCAAGUAUGGUAGACAGCAGGCAAUGAUCAGCAUGCAUAGCAAUCACCCUGCGUGUCCUGCUCCAACUUCCUGCCAUGAUGACUUGCAAGAUGUUCUAUAGAUGUUUCUUGCUUGAGUCACUAGAAAAGGGACUUCUGGAGUGGCACUUGCCAGGCCUCAUCAGGCAGGUGAUGCUUCAAUCCCAGUGUAGGUCUUCUGUUCCACUCAUCUCUCUCUAGUCUCUUCCUUACAUCUUUUAGUUUCACCUCUUGGCCCAUAUUAGACGGCCUUUCAGAGCUAAAGGACCCCAUCAUCUACACAGCCUUGCUGCCUUCACAAGCAACUGUGGAGUUUUCUGUCCCUGGCAUUGACAUGUCCUUGAGAAUUUACCCUUCCCACAUCAGACUUGCCCCAUCUGAAGUGGGAGCCUUGGUGCUGUUCAUGUCUGGUGUCUGCUCCUGGCUGUGUUGCUCCUUCACUGGUGAUGAUGGAAUCUGCAUGAAUGACAGAGACUGACAAGGAGAUCUGGGUGGCCUGGUUGCCCAGGGAAAGGUUGAGAGUGGGGUCACUAAUUAUAUCUUGAUACUCCUGGAGGAGAAAUUUUACCUUUGUCCAUUUCAGUCACUCCAGGAAGGACAGUUCAUUUAAUUGGCACCUUCUGCUGAGAUAGAAGGCCGUUAUUACACAGUCUAAUCUAGGAUGUAGACGGUUCUGGUUUUUGCUGAGAGUAUAAGAGUUUGGCCUGGGUCUGGACCUUAGCCACAGGUCCUAAGUUGGGGCUAGGUCUCAUUGCAAGGCAGCACUAGACCUGGGCGGAGAAUGGAGGUCUCAGGCAGUCAGAACCUGCUGUUGAGGUGGGAAAGAAUGAGAGAUUGUGGAAUGAAGCAGCUUAGGGUGGGCAUAGGAAGAGUUUUCAGAGACCAGGCAGGAGCCAGCAGAGACUCACUGAGCAGGGAGCACAUGCCAUAGCAUUACCUGCUGCAUCUCUGCUCCAACUUACCCUCCAAGCUCUUGGGAGAGAUGGCUGCUGAGAACUGGGAGUCGCUCUUCCAUUUUAUGCUGCAGAAGAGGGAAGAGUCCUUUAGGGGAACCCAGGAAAGCAAAGCCCCAGCCCCGGUGUCCUGGGACAGAGGCCAGUGACAGUGACUGCAAAUGUUUAGUGGGCCCCAUCAUUUAUAGGGUGCUCCUUCUACCAAACUGUGGUUCCCAAAGUCACUAUGGGUGAGAAAGAAGGACUCCUUUGAAAGAGGAUUAGUUCUAAGGGAAGUGAGAUGAUUUGUGCACAGAAGGACCUGGAGGCUUAUUUCUGCACUCAUGUUUUCUGAUACAUGGAUCUGUACUCAGGGACAGGAGAACAGGAGAUGGACGGAACCUACCUUCAUUGGCGGGACUGUCAUCCCUUCUUUGCUAUCUGCUUGCAAGACUCAAAGAUGUCGGGCUAAUGGGAUAAGGGUGCCAACCCGAUUAUCAAUGACUAGUGCUCUCAUUUUAUAGACUAUGCUGUUAGUCCUGGGAACACAAUGUAGUAUGGCACUUGUCUGCUUUAUAACCCCCAAGCAGCAGGAAUUAUACCCUUUUGGCCAGUUGGACUGAAGCCCUUAGAGAAACAUAGCCAUUGAACCCCACAUGCCUUAUGUACACUAUGGGGCUCUGGCAGUUUCCCCAGAGACUGACCCUGUCUGAGCUGCACCCAGGUGGCCAGAGCUGAUGAUGGAUGAGAUAGCACUGCUGUAGUGUCCAGAACGCCUCAGGUCCCAGGGAGUGGGCAGCCCAGUGAGAGUCAAGUGGCUUGUCCACCAGGAGAUGGGUCACCUAGCUCCUGUCACAAUGUGGGCAGUCUCUGGCCUUCCUAACACAGUACAUGUGAUCCUCUUGCGUCUGUUUUGUUACUGGUUGUAUCCUGAAUGGGCUAAAGAAAAUUCCCCAUGUCACAGUGGCCUCCUGGUCCUGUGCACCACUUUGCUGUCAGUUGCAGGAACGAUGCAUGGGCUCCCUCAUGUUAGCAAGUGUGUGGUGUGCUCCACACUUACACUCCAGUAGCUUCCACCAUGGUGUCUGUGGGAAGGUGCCAGGGGUGCUGUUUUUACGUGGUACCGAUUGACUGUGACAAUUACCUUGUAAUCACUUAUUUUCAACUCCAUUUCUGGUCGCCUCUACCUCUAUAUUGUGUGUAGGAAGUGCUGUCAUCAGAACAAAAUGCACCCUCAUCUCUGAUGUCACAAACCACAUCACACUAAGCUCAAAUUAAUGCCUUGACUACUGUGUCUCUGCACGGAUGAUGCUGAAUCGCUGGCUUCGUUCCUUAGUCUCCACAUGUAAAACAGUUGGCUGUUGCUCGUGUUGCACAAGUAUUUUAUGCCUUAGCAACACUCGCCUCCCUGUGGCUGUGGAUUCUGUUUACAAGGUGCACAAGUCACUUCCUGGAUGCUGUCUACAGCCCCUUGCAAGCUCAGUGAACACUGCAGAAGAACAGGUGUGAGAUUGUAAGAGCCUAUCAGGAAGAGUACAUAAUAAGUAGAUUUCCAGUUACCAUGACUGUAGCUGACUUGAGGUCAGACUGCUAGGAGUAUUACAGAAUAAACCUAGCUACAUUUUCCCACUUAUUCUCUCAAAUACUACAAAUAAGACAAUCCAUAGAGAGCUGUGGGGAACUCUAUAAUAAACCCUUGCUCCAGGAGUGAGACUCAUUGGUGUCAAGGUAACCAUACCCCAGGGAGGAUGGAGACCCUUAUGUCCUCACCUACGUAGACCUCUGUGACCCAGACUUUGGCAGCUCACUGCUGCUGACACCCAGGCCCAUGCUUCUGUAAGUCCCCCCAAUAAACUGUGCCUGUGUAAUCAAGUUCUGUUACCUGUUAGUCUUUCACCUGUGGCCUCUUGUUCCUGCUGCGUAGGCAUUGGUUAUUCUAUAACGAAUUCCCAGGAGAGAAACUAGAAGUCUCACUAGGAGGGCUAGAAGUCUCACUAGGAGGGCUAGAAGUGUCCCAUUUUUUGGCUAGACUAAGUUCUUGUCUUAAACAUUUAUAGACUUGGUAUUCAACAGCACAUUCUAAGAAACAUAACUUAUUUUUCAGGUUAGACUCUGUGGAAUUUGUCCCAUGUGUGUCCUUGGAUAUGUUUUGCUUUGGUUCUGGGUUCUGAGCACUGCAACUUGGUUUCGAUCCGUGUCAAAGGUUAGACACCACAUCUAGGCUUGCAGAUCACCCUUCCCAUAGACAGCAUUUGGUUUCCUCUUGGAUUACACUGUUCUUGUUAUGUAUUCUAUUCCAGACCUUCUUCUCGCUCAAAAUUGACUUAAUAUGAGUCUUUCCCAUGUGGCGAGCCCACAACUGUUGAGGUUUGCUCUGUUCUGUGUACUAAAUAUUGGCCCCCAAGAUCUGGUUGUCUCAGGGACCAGGAAAUCCUCAUGCACACCAAGCGAUGCUAUGUGUACCCUUGCUCCUUAAUUUAAAACUGUUGGUUGAAUAAAGAUGCCUAAAGCCUAGAGCUGGAUAGAAGAGAGGUGGGCAGGGCUUUGGUUCCUGGGUUUGGGGUUAGAGACAAGACCAUGGCAGGUGGAGAGAGAAGACGUCAUGGGGUAGGUGAGUCAUGAAAGCAUGGCCACGAGGGCUGGCCAGUUAGUUAAGAGCAGACCAGGUAAAACAUGGCAAGUCAUAACUUGGGGUUACUGAUAAGGAAAUAGACAUAAUAGCACAGAGGGCAGAUAUCUAUCCAGCUUUAGU